rnacentral:rRNA from 1 species
UUAGGAAUUUUGCGCAAUGGGGGAAACCCUGACGCAGCAACGCCGCGUGAGUGACGAAGGCCUUCGGGUUGUAAAGCUCUUUUAGUUGGGAAGAAAAAAACGACGGUACCAACAGAAAAAGCACCGGCUAACUCUGUGCCAGCAGCCGCGGUAAUACAGAGGGUGCAAGCGUUAUUCGGAGUUACUGGGCGUAAAGCGCACGUAGGCGGCUUUAUAAGUCUGAUGUGAAAUCCCUGGACUCAAUCCAGGAAGUGCAUUGGAUACUGUAAGGCUAGAGUGUAGGAGAGGAGAACGGAAUUCCUGGUGUAGAGGUGAAAUUCGUAGAUAUCAGGAGGAACAACGGAAGCGAAGGCGGUUCUCUAGACUAUAACUGACGCUCAGGUGCGAAAGCGUGGGGAGCAAACAGG